AAAUAUUUAAUUAUUAACUUGUUUAUUAAAUCGUUACACGACACGACCCAGGGUCUGAACCCCGGGUCUGUGCUCAGAGCUGGUUUGGUCGAUUUUUUAGACCCAAACCCCGGGUCUGGUUUUAUACAACCAACCAAUUAACAACACUAGGCAACCCUGGUCAGUAAAUACAAAUAUGGAGAUGGUAGGUUAUGAGUCCACUAAUAUGUUUGGGUCAGUAAAUACAAAUAUGGGGAUGGUAGGUGAUGAAUCCACUAAUAUGUCUGGGUCAGUAAAUACAAAUAUGGAGAUGUUAGAUUUUGGGGCAAGUUUUAAUUCAUGACUGCUAUCUCUAACUGUGAAAGAAAGGUGAAUGCUAAUUAUAAUAUACAUCAGUCAGAUGCUCUAAAAAAUUGUACAGAGCAAAUGAAAAAUCAACAUAUUUAUAAAAGAAUAAGUUAUAUCUGUAAACAAGGUGGUAUUUUUAAGAGUAAAGGAAAAAGUCUAAGAAAUACAAAAAGCUUCAGACAAAAUUGCACCAGUAAUUUUGUUGUCAAGUUGAUUAAAAGAGGUACAAAUCAAUUGGUGGUUACUCGUUUUCAUGAUACACAUAACCAUGAAUUAGAUAGCAACUUAUAUAAAAGAUUAUUCAAACAACGUAAAUUAAAUGAUAAAGAAAAAGAGUAUAUAAUAGCUGGACAUGAUGGCAAUAUUUCAAAAAUCCAAUCAGAUAUUCAAAAAUUAGAUAAAUUAACAACAAAAAGAGACCUGUAUAAUUUAAAAUACAAGAUUCCAAUUAAUAAUUCCAAUGAAUUAUCCACCCUUAUUGCCACAAUAAAAAAAGAUAAUCCAACUAAUAUUAUACAAGUAUUGAUGGAAAAUGACAAUUUUAAAGCUUUUUAUUUCCAAACUCCUAAAAUGAGGGAAUACUUUGAUUUCUUCCCAGAAAUAUUAUUAAUUGAUGCCACCUAUUCCCUAAAUAAAUAUAUAUUGCCUGUAAUUACUUUGUUUGUUGUAGAUGGGUUUGUUUGCAUAUGGGUUGAUAAAUCAGAAAGUUAUUCUAUAGUAAAAAUGAUGUGUGACAAUUACAAUUCAAAACAUGAUAAAAUACGAUGCAUUAUAUCGGAUAAGGACUUUGCAGACAGGCAUGCCUACAAAGAUGCCUUUCCAGAGGAAUCAUUAGAGAUAUGCUUAUUCCAUGUUUUUUGGGCAUUCAACCAAGAAAUUACAGUUAACAAAAGGAAUAUUUCAAAAGAACAAGUAAAAAUAGUUAAAAAGGUCUAUGGUUUAUGCCAAGUCUACUGCAAAAUAUUUUAUACAAUAUCAAAAUUUAUUGCAAUUAAAUAUUGUAUCAAUUACCAAUUAUUAUAAUAAUAACUGGCACUCAAUAAAAGAAGAAUUUUGUAUGGCGACAGAGGGACAACAAAUAGUUGUAGACCAAAAUCAAUGUAACUGUGGACUCACAAAAUCGUUAUUGCUUCCUUGUAUGCAUAUAUUUUUUUAUAGAAAGAAAAAUGAUAUCAACAUUUUUACCCCAAAUCUUGUAAUGAAAGAUGGUAUCGAAAUUAUUUCACCCUUACUGGAGAAAUUAGUAGUGAUAAUUAUAUUAACAAUAUCAUAGAAAACUGUAAUAAUGAUAUUAAUAGUGAAAUUAGUCAUUGAUUCACAAAGAAAUAUAAAAAUACACGAAUUACCUAAGAAAAUCAUAACAACCAAAACUCAAAAGUUCAAACAUUUUCAUGAACUGGCCCUUCUAAUAUAAACAUUUGCAUCCGAAUUGUCAAAAGAUCAAUAUAAUAAAUAUUAUGAUUUUUUUCACAAAUAUAUGAGGCAAGGGGAAAUAUUCCUGAAAUAUUUAAAGAAAAAAAUUAAGAUAGUAACCAAAAUUCUGAAGGAGCCAUACUUGAUAAUUUAUCUCUUUUAAAUUCAAUAAAGAUGCCACCCUUAAAAAUGGGCUAUUUGAAACAAAUGGACAUAAAAAAAGGAAAAACAUGUGGAAAUGUUAAAAUUACCAUUCAUAUAAGCAAUGGCAUAUCUGAGCCUGACCAUAACUCAAAUUAUCUUUUAUCUUUUGAAUAUUUUUAUUUAGGCAAGGAAAAUAAAGUGAACAAAAAUCCUUUCACUUCACUACCAAAGAAUAAUAGAAUAGCAGUAUCUUAGUUGCAAUCUGUUUUUGCAAAUUUAACCAAUCACAUUCAAAAUAUGGGACCCCCCAAAGCUAUAGAUGUUAUUCAAUACUCUGAUGAUUCUUUGGCUACAUCGUCAAAUAACGAUUCGUUAUUUUUGUCUCAAUCAACUAUAUGACAGGAAUUGGGAGAUUCAUUUUCUGAAGAAGCGUCAUCAUCUAUGCUGAUGGAUAUAAAAAAUCAUUCACUAUGACCCCAAACAAAACAAGAAAAAAAUGUAAUCUUUGUAGUACCGUAUACAAAUUCUCAACUUCCCAAAAAUUGUUCUUAUCUGUUUUGGAUAACGGUUACUAUUAGGGGAGAGUGGGCUUAGUUAGACCCCGGGGAUUUGCCCACUUAAUCUCAUUUUAUAACUACACCAGAAGCGAAUAUGAAAAAACAUAUGAAAUCAGUGCAUCCAAAUAUAUUUAAUGAGAUGGCUCAGGGAUCCUCCAUUUAUGACACGAUGCUUGGGAUGCGGAAGCCCUUACCCCAUGAAAAUUUGAUGAUUAAUAAACUAAUCCUAAUAUUCCUAAUAAAGACAAAUAUAUCUUUUAGCACCAUUGAUAAUUCAGCCUUUAAAAGAAUAUUCAAUUAUGCAAAUAAAAAUAUUAAGUUAUGGUGUAGACAGACCAUUAAAAAAAAUCUUGAUAAUGUAUAUAAUUUGGCCAAAAAUAACUUAAUUGAAAAAUUAAAUAAUCAUACAAAUUUGUUUUCUAUUACUACUGAUAUCUGGACUGCUAAUAAUAUUAUGUCCUUCUGUGCCCUUACCUUUCAUUAUAUAAAUAAAAAUUGGGUAAAUAUCAAUCUGGUAUUGCAUAUGAUUGCGUUUCCUCAUCCACACACAGGAGAUGAAAUUUGCAAAAUUGUCUUAUUUUUAUUAGAAGAAUUCAAAUUAAAAGAUAGAAUACUGUCAAUAACACAUGUUAAUGGAUCUAAUGAGGUCAAGGCAGUCCAAUUGCUGCAAAAAUAUUAUCAAUCCCAUUACUCAAAAAUUUUAUAUGGAUAUCGCUGCUUGGCCCACAUCAUUAAUUUAAUAGUAAAGGUUGGCCUUAAUUGUUUUGAGGAGAAAUUGAAAAAUAUAGAACAGAUAGUGGCUAAAUUACAUAGCUCGUCAAAAUUCAUGCAAUCAUACAAAGCAGUAAGUGGGGCAACUAAGAUACUUCUUGCUGUUAAAACGCGAUGGAACAGCAAAUACCUAAUGAUAUCCUCUAUUAAUAAGAAUAUGAAUGCUAUACAAGACCUGGUCAAACAAGGUAUAAUAGGGACAGAUAUUACUCCAACUCCUGAUGAUUGCGCGUUCUUCAUAAAAAAAAGCGCAUCAAAUGGAACUAAUGAUAAUAGUUAAUUAAUGACAUAUCUCGAUGAGCCACUCGCUCCCGAAAUUACACAUAUAUUAGAUUGGUGGAGAGGAAAUGCUGAACGUUUUCCUCAUUUAGCAAUGAUGGCUAGGGAUUAUCUAUGCCAACAGACAACCUCAGUGGCAUCGGAAAGAGCUUUUUCCUUGGCCGGAAAUAUUAUGACUAAACUGAGGAACAAGAUGGCCCCAUCGACGCUGAAGCAAUUAUGGCACUAUCCUCCUGGCGGGACUUGCAGUAUGUUCUCUCUACCGAUCGGAAUAUAUAAUGGAAUGGGAAUUUUAACAUAAUAUUAUAUUUUAAAUGUAUAUUAUAUUAUUUUUUUUUCAUUAUAUUUAUAAUAAUACUAUAAUUAUAUUUAUUAAUUUAUUUGUUUAAAUAUAAAUUAUAAUAAAAUAUCAUCAUAUUUUGCGAUUUUUAAGAUGUUUAU